UAAUACCUGCAGCUCAAGUGGUGAUCGUUAUUAUUGGGCCUAAAACGUCCGUAGCCGGUUUAGUAAAUGCCUGGGUAAAUCGUGCCGCUCGACGGUACGAAUUCCGGGUAGACUGCUAAACUUGAGACCGGGAGAGGCUAGAGGUACUCCUGGGGUAGAGGUGAAAUUCUGUAAUCCUAGGGGGACCACCAGUGGCGAAGGCGUCUAGCUAGAACGGGUCUGACGGUGAGGGACGAAGCCCUGGGGCGCAAACCGGAUUAGAUACCCGGGUAGUCCAGGGUGUAAACGCUGCUUGCUUGAUGUUAGUCGGGCUCCGAGCCCGAUUAGUGUCGGAGAGAAGUUGUUAAGCAAGCUGCCUGGGAAGUACGGUCGCAAGACUG
rnacentral:rRNA from 1 species